CGCCUGCGCUCCGUCAGAGGACGCGACCGCGCGCAGACCGCGUACCCGAAAGGGGGGCUUGGGGGACCCUGACCGCGACGGAAAGAGGGUCUCGGGAUUAAGAAAAAUGAGGUCACAGAGAAACAGUGUGCCAAAACAAGGACGUGGACUCGGAAGUGGACUUGGAACUGACUUCCAAGCACGAUGUCAUCAUUUAAGUUCAAAAACCACAGCUCCAGAAUCGUAUCAUUCUGCCAGUAAUCACAAGCUAAGAAGUUCGACUUUUACCCCCGGUGAGGGUUGGGGAGCGGAGAAAAGCCUUUAAUAUUGUUUAAACGGGGAAGGAGGCAGGGGAAAUAAGGUAACUAACCUUGCUGGGGUGGGGGAAUUUGAAGUCUAUCAAACAAUGAGUGGAAUGCCUACUGGAAUGUCUAAUGGAAUGCUUAUUAGGAUAUAAUUUUGAUCUUUUGAAAAGAUGCAACAAAUAUUUUCAAAUGAGUCCAUGUAAAAGUAUUUUGUAAAGUGUAUUUUAUGAUGUAAUAUGUUGUUUCUAUCCCAAACAUGUUUUUUUUACUA